rnacentral:rRNA from 1 species
GACGAACGCUGGCGGCGUGCUUAACACAUGCAAGUCGAACGGAAAGGCCCCCUUGUGGGGUACUCGAGUGGCGAACGGGUGAGUAACACGUGAGUAACCUACCCUUUACUUUGGGAUAACUUCAGGAAACUGGGGCUAAUACCGGAUAGGAGCUCCUGCUGCAUGGUGGGGGUUGGAAAGUUUCGGCGGUUGGGGAUGGACUCGCGGCUUAUCAGCUUGUUGGUGGGGUAGUGGCUCACCAAGGCUUUGACGGGUAGCCGGCCUGAGGGGGUGACCGGCCACAUUGGGACUGAGAUACGGCCCAGACUCCUACGGGAGGCAGCAGUGGGGAAUAUUGCACAAUGGGCGGAAGCCUGAUGCAGCAACGCCGCGUGCGGGAUGACGGCCUUCGGGUUGUAAACCGCUUUCGCCUGUGACGAAGCGUGAGUGACGGUAAUGGGUAAAGAAGCACCGGCUAACUACGUG